GAACGCUGGCGGCGUGCUUAACACCUGCAAGUCGAACGGAAAGGCCCUGCUUUUGUGGGGUGCUCGAGUGGCGAACGGGUGAGUAACACGUGAGUAACCUGCCCUUGACUUUGGGAUAACUUCAGGAAACUGGGGCUAAUACCGGAUAGGAGCUCCUGCUGCAUGGUGGGGGUUGGAAAGUUUCGGCGGGUGGGGAUGGACUCGCGGCUUAUCAGCUUGUUGGUGGGGUAGUGGCUUACCAAGGCUUUGACGGGUAGCCGGCCUGAGAGGGUGACCGGCCACAUUGGGACUGAGAUACGGCCCAGACUCCUACGGGAGGCAGCAGUGGGGAAUAUUGCACAAUGGGCGGAAGCCUGAUGCAGCAACGCCGCGUGCGGGAUGACGGCCUUCGGGUUGUAAACCGCUUUCGCCUGUGACGAAGCGUGAGUGACGGUAAUGGGUAAAGAAGCACCGGCUAACUACGUG
rnacentral:rRNA from 1 species